rnacentral:ribozyme from 1 species
GGUGUGCAAAAGACUUACCUCCACGUGGUGCACACUGGGCAACGUAUACUCAUACGGCAAAAGAGUCUAU